rnacentral:lncRNA from 1 species
UAUGAAAGAGGUCAAUGAAACAAAGUAUAGCAAUACACUAACCAAAACAUGAUUAAGAGUUAUUCAACGCUAAAUAAAACGUUGACAAAAAUAUACUUUAUUUAGAAAGGAUUAUUAUUAUCUUUAACAAUACGCUAUCCAAAACAUGAUUAAGAUUUAUUCAACACAAAAAAAAAAAUGCUGUCUCACUUUAUUUUGAGACAAUGACAACAAUUAUACUUAUAAGAAAACACUUGCUUACAGAGUUAUUAAACACAAAACCAAUUAAGAUUAGUUGCGAACAUGUAGGGUGAUAAAGUGAAAGGGGGCGAACAUGAGUUGGUGCAAACGUGAAUGGGCGCGAACGGACCCGGAUUCAGCCUAUGUACCAGUGAGAAAUAUAGAAGCCUUUAUACGGUAUUUAUUUGUACAAUUCAGGUAGUCUUGACCUAUUCAUUUGUCUUAAAAAAAACCCAGCCAGUUGGCACCUUCACUUCACACACACACAUAUACGAAUAUCAAUUAUAUGCUUACGAGACAUGUUGCAUUGUUAAACUAAUUACGGUAUGUGAAAAUCAAGACUUGCAUAAAAACUAUCCCAAUAUUAGAGACAGUGGCGUCAUUUUUCUUCAGAGCUUUCAGCUCUUUGAUUUUUAAA